rnacentral:rRNA from 1 species
AUUGAACGCUGGCGGCAUGCCUUACACAUGCAAGUCGAACGGCAGCACGGACUUCGGUCUGGUGGCGAGUGGCGAACGGGUGAGUAAUGUAUCGGAACGUACCUUUCAGUGGGGGAUAACGUAGCGAAAGUUACGCUAAUACCGCAUAUUCUGUGAGCAGGAAAGCAGGGGAUCGCAAGACCUUGCGCUGAUUGAGCGGCCGAUAUCAAAUUAGCUAGUUGGUGAGGUAAAGGCUCACCAAGGCGACGAUCUGUAGCGGGUCUGAGAGGAUGAUCCGCCACACUGGAACUGAGACACGGUCCAGACUCCUACGGGAGGCAGCAGUGGGGAAUUUUGGGACAAUGGGGGCAACCCUGAUCCAGCCAUGCCGCGUGAGUGAAGAAGGCCUCGGUGUAAG